rnacentral:rRNA from 1 species
AUUGAACGCUGGCGGCAUGCUUUACACAUGCAAGUCGAACGGUAACAGGCCUUCGGGUGCUGACGAGUGGCGAACGGGUGAGUAAUGCAUCGGAACGUACCCAGAGGUGGGGGAUAACGCAGCGACAGCUGUGCUAAUACCGCAUGUGAUCUGAGGAUGAAAGCGGGGGACCGAGCAGCAAUGUUUGGCCUCGCGCCUUUGGAGCGGCCGAUGUCGGAUUAGCUAGUUGGUGGGGUAAAGGCCUACCAAUGCGACGCUCCGUAGCUGGUCUGGGAGGACGACCAGCCACACUGGGACUGAGACACGGCCCAGACUCCUACGGGAGACAGCAGUGGGGAAUUUUGGACAAUGGGCGCAAGCCUGAUCCAGCAAUGCCGCGUGCGGGAAGAAGGCCUUCGGGUUGCAAACCGCUUUUGGCAGGAACGAAACGGUGUCCGCUAAUACCGGGCGCUAAUGACGGUACCUGCAGAAUAAGCACCGGCUAACUACGUG